UGGGGAAUAUUGGACAAUGGGCGAAAGCCUGAUCCAGCCAUGCCGCGUGUGUGAAGAAGGCCUUCGGGUUGUAAACCGCUUUUGUCAGGGAAGAAACGAGUUUCUCUAAUACAGAGACUUAAUGACGGUACCUGAAGCAUAAGGAUCGGCUAACUCCGUGCCAGCAGCCGCGGUAAUACGUAGGGUGCAAGCGUUAACCGGAAUUACUGGGCGUAAAGCGUGCGCAGGCGGUUAUGCAAGACAGAGGUGAAAUCCCCGGGCUCAACCUGGGAACUGCCUUUGUGACUGCAUAGCUAGAGUACGGUAGAGGAGGAUGGAAUUCCGCGUGUAGCAGUGAAAUGCGUAGAUAUGCGGAGGAACACCAAUGGCGAAGGCAAUCCCCUGGGCCUGUACUGACGCUCAUGAACGAAAGCGUGGGGAGCAAACA
rnacentral:rRNA from 1 species